rnacentral:rRNA from 1 species
AUUGAACGCUGGCGGCAUGCCUUACACAUGCAAGUCGAACGGUAACAGGUCUUCGGAUGCUGACGAGUGGCGAACGGGUGAGUAAUACAUCGGAACGUGCCCGAGAGUGGGGGAUAACGCAGCGAAAGCUGUGCUAAUACCGCAUACGAUCUACGGAUGAAAGCAGGGGAUUCGCAAGGACCUUGCGCUCAUGGAGCGGCCGAUGGCAGAUUAGGUAGUUGGUGGGAUAAAAGCUUACCAAGCCGACGAUCUGUAGCUGGUCUGAGAGGACGACCAGCCACACUGGGACUGAGACACGGCCCAGACUCCUACGGGAGGCAGCAGUGGGGAAUUUUGGACAAUGGGGAAACCCUGAUCCAGCCAUGCCGCGUGCAGGAUGAAGGCCUUCGGGUUGUAAACUGCUUUUGUACGGAACGAAAAGGUCUUUUCUAAUAAAGAAGGCCCAUGACGGUACCGUAAGAAUAAGCACCGGCUAACUACGUGCCAGCAGCCGCGGUAAACG